AUUGAACGCUGGCGGCAUGCUUUACACAUGCAAGUCGAACGGUAACAGGCCGCAAGGUGCUGACGAGUGGCGAACGGGUGAGUAAUGCAUCGGAACGUGCCCAGUCGUGGGGGAUAACGCAGCGAAAGCUGCGCUAAUACCGCAUACGAUCUAUGGAUGAAAGCGGGGGACCGUAAGGCCUCGCGCGUUUGGAGCGGCCGAUGUCAGAUUAGGUAGUUGGUGGGGUAAAGGCUCACCAAGCCAACGAUCUGUAGCUGUUCUGAGAGGACGACCAGCCACACUGGGACUGAGACACGGCCCAGACUCCUACGGGAGGCAGCAGUGGGGAAUUUUGGACAAUGGGCGCAAGCCUGAUCCAGCGAUGCCGCGUGCAGGAAGAAGGCCUUCGGGUUGUAAGCUGCUUUUGUCAGGGAAGAAAUCCUCUAGGCUAAUACCUUGGGGGGAUGACGGUACCUGAAGAAUAAGCACCGGCUAACUACGUGCCAGCCGCCGCAGUAAGAC
rnacentral:rRNA from 1 species